rnacentral:rRNA from 1 species
GACGUCGCGAGGAUUCCACUGAACCUUAUCAUUUAGAGGAAGGAGAAGUCGUAACAAGGUUUCCGUAGGUGAACCUGCGGAAGGAUCAUUG